AUUGAACGCUGGCGGCAGGCCUAACACAUGCAAGUCGAGCGAGAGGCGGAUGGGGGAGAAAUGUAUGGGAAACUGCCUGAUGGAGGGGGAUAACUACUGGAAACGGUAGCUAAUAUCGCAUACCAUCAGAUGGGCCCAGAUGGGAUUAGCGAGUGGGUGGGGGAAUGGGGCACCUAGGCGACGAUCCCUAGCUGGUCUGAGAGGAGGACCAGCCCCACUGGAACGUAGACACGGUCCAGACUCCUACGGGAGGCAGCAGUGGGGAAUUUUGCACAAUGGGCGAAAGCCUGAUGCAGCCAUGCCGCGUGUGUGAUGAAGGCCUUCGGGUUGUAAAGCACUUUCAGCGGGGAGGCGUUACCCGCAGAAGAAGCACCGGCUAACUCCGUGCCAGCAGCCGCGGUAAUAC
rnacentral:rRNA from 1 species